rnacentral:rRNA from 1 species
ACUCAAAGGAAUUGACGGGGACCCGCACAAGCGGUGGAUGAUGUGGUUUAAUUCGAUGCUACGCGAAGAACCUUACCCAGGCUUGACAUCCUGCGAAUCUGUUGGAAACAACGGAGUGCCUUCGGGAGCGCAGUGACAGGUGUUGCAUGGCCGUCGUCAGCUCGUGUCGUGAGAUGUUUGGUUAAGUCCAUUAACGAGCGCAACCCUUAUCGUCUGUUACAAUUUCAGGCGAGACUGCCCCGGCCAACGGGGAGGAAGGUGGGGAUGAGGUCAGGUCAGCAUGGCCCUUACGCCUGGGGCUACACACGUCAUACAAUGGCCGGUACAGCGCGUUUGCCAACCCGCGAGGGGGAGCUAAUCGUAUCAAAACCGGUCCCAGUUCGGAUUGGAGGCUGCAACUCGCCUCCAUGAAGUUGGAAUCGCUAGUAAACGUGGGUCAGCAUACCACGUUGAAUACGUUCCCGGGUCUUGUACACACCGCCCGU